UACGUAGGGUGCAAGCGUUGUCCGGAAUUAUUGGGCGUAAAGAGCUCGUAGGCGGUUUGUCGCGUCUGCUGUGAAAACUCGGGGCUUAACUCCGGGCCUGCAGUGGGUACGGGCAGACUAGAGUGCGGUAGGGGAGACUGGAAUUCCUGGUGUAGCGGUGAAAUGCGCAGAUAUCAGGAGGAACACCGGUGGCGAAGGCGGGUCUCUGGGCCGUAACUGACGCUGAGGAGCGAAAGCGUGGGGAGCGAACAGGG
rnacentral:rRNA from 1 species